rnacentral:lncRNA from 9 species
CUGGUAGGUUGGUUCUGUUUCUGGAUCUCGGAGAAGCGGCCUUUGGUAGGAGACGACCCAGCAGUGCACCGCCCUCUUGUCACCGGAGGCGUAUGCUCUAGGGGCCCCUCAGACGGCUGUGUGGAUCCUGAGGGCCGUCUGGUAGGCUUGGUUGGUAGCCAGGCCCUGUCUUGCGUGGAGGCUGCAGCCGCUGGUUGGCAGAGCAGGUCACAAAGCACUGAGGGCGGAUCUCAGGGGGCCCGGAGCCUGUGCUGCCUCACCCAUGGGUGGAGUCAGGGUCCAGGAGACUCGGGGCUGUUGGGGGAAGCCAGGCCCUGGGUCAGAGCUGCUUACUGGAGGGCAGAGCCAGCCUGAUUGGGCCACAACUUGGGCAGCCUUGGAAGCUCUGUGUUGAAGCACUGCCAUCAGGCAGCCUGGAACCAGGAUAAACCCACCCGGAGGUGCCUGUUAGAUGAGCAAGACCUGAAGACAUGGAACCCGGCGCAAAAGUUCCCCCCUUUUCCUCUUCUAAAUAUGUUGCUUCGCAUAUCCUCUCUCUCCGGACAGCCCCUUCUAAGACCCCUGCCUGAGGUUGGGACCUCCUCGUUUUUGCAUCCAGACUCUUGUUAGGGGCUCCGGACUGGUCCUAGCUCUUUAGGGCACCUCUCGUCAAACCCACCCUCUGCUCAGCAGCUGAAAGAACUCCCGAAAGAACAGUUGGAAGUGAUCUCUUCCACUCCGAGGACCCUGGCGUUGGCUGAGCCUGUCGCCGUGCCCGCUCCCCUCCAGUCCGUCCUCUGGAGAAGCUUUUCCAGGUAGGGAAUGAAUCUUCCUGGUCACUACUAACAAGUGUUUUUGCAGUUGGUAUUUUCAGAUUACCAUCCAGACAAGGUCCCCAUACUGUAUUUGAUUUUUGGCUACGUGUUUUUUCCCCUAUGUAAGUGCUCAUCUCCCAUUUUCUACUCUCACUGAUUUUUGGUAAAACCAGGUCAUUUGUCCUAUUUAAAUGAGUACACCCUGGAAACAGCAAAUUUUUCUGUCAUGGGGUCAUUUAACGUAUUCUUCUGAGUCAGAUCUUUUAGCAGACAUUUCAGUUUGGCCUCGAGAACAAGUUAUGCGUUCUGCUUACUGAUCUUACUACUUUGGACAAGUCUCUUAUGUUGUCUACGUGUCAGUUCCCAUCCCCGCCCUCCCCAACCUCUUGAUGCACGUCUUCAUUUUUCUGACUGAAAACCAGGGAUGAUGAUAAUGUGUUCUAUCUUUAGGAUGGCAUGAGCGAAAGGAGGUGCUCUCUGCGGUAAGUAUUAAGGUUCUUAGGAAGAAAGUACUCUAUAAAGAUGAUUAGAAGAACUUUUCUUAGGCUGUUGGGAAUAUAGGGGAUAUGGUGAUUUAGCAAUACAAAAGCUUUCGUGCCACAUGGGAAAAGGCAGGAAUUCAUUGCAUGUAGAGAUCGAUACACUUCUGUUCCUCUCUGCAUAUAUAUCAAGGUGUCUAGCUCUAGACGGUAAAGGAGGGUCCAAAAAAAAAGCAGUGCAACUCAAUUAGAAGUGUCACAGCACAUUAAGCUCCUUCUGUUUGUCUUCUUUAUUACUGCUUCCAAUAACUGAGUACCACGCAGGGAUCUAGCUGUUUCUUUACUCUUGAUGGUGUGAUAACAGCAAAAUAGGAUGAAAAGAAUAUUCUGAUGUGGAAAACUGCAUGGCACAGGGCGAUGAUAGGAUGUCUGCAUAGGUGACAGGCGACCUCUCGGCUUGCAUCAUAGAGCCUGAAAACUCACGUUCGGGAUUGCCGUCCAGUGUACUGAUGCUGCUCUGUAGUCCUGCCUCACAUGUUCUCUUUAGAGACUAGGAUUCCUGAGCAGAGUCUGUUGCAGGGCCUCUGUCCUCCUCUCAGGCUUUAACUGUCAGCAUCCCCUGCCCUCAGUGAACAUGGAAACUCUUGCUUACAAAAAAAGGUUGGUCACCAUAUACUCUGUUGGGAUUUGAUACCAGGGCCAAAUAUAAAAGCUCAGGGUAGUCUUUUAAUUUUGAGAGACAAAAAAAUAAUUUCAACAUUUAGAAGAUAAAGAAAAGCAUUUCUGCUUUGGGGUUUGGCCUGCAUUCUGGUGGAACUGCUUGCAAACCUUAGCUACCCCUUCCAGCAUUGGUCACCAUGGGACACCAUUUAAGCAAGAAACCCUGGGUUGCUCAGUCAGCA